rnacentral:lncRNA from 1 species
GUAUUUUCUGGCCUGGCUUAUGCUCUCCAACCUCUAGGGGGAGCUCAAGGCUUCCCCUACUCAAGCCUCUUCUAUCCACCCCUGGGAAGAUAGAGGAGCUCUCCAGAAGCCUGAGGCAGUGAGGUACCCAGGGCUGGGCGGCCAUGGAGGACUUGAAGAACAGACAAAGAUCACGCCGAGGAAUUACAGAUAAACCCCACUCUAAUGUGUAUGAAAGUUCCAGUCCUUCCACAUUAUCACCAGCACAUAUGUGGCAGCCUUAGAAACAUCUUACAUGGCAGGAUGAGGAGCAAGUGAGAGACAAGAGAGAAGGGCUACACACUUUUAACAACCAGAUCUCAUGAGAACUCACUCACUGUCAUGAGAACAGCACCAAC